rnacentral:SRP_RNA from 2 species
GCUGGGUGUGGUGGUGCAUGCCUGUAAUCCUAGCUACUCGGGAGGCUGAGGCAGGAGAAUCGCUUGAACCAGGGAGUUGGAGGUUGCAGUGAGCUGAGAUCGCGCCACUGCCUCCACCCUGGUGACACAGCGAGACUCCGUGUCAA